UUGACCUCGAAUCAGGUAGGACUACCCGCUGAACUUAAGCAUAUCAAUAAGCGGAGGAAAAGAAACCAACAGGGU
rnacentral:rRNA from 1 species